AUUGAACGCUGGCGGCAGGCCUAACACAUGCAAGUCGAGCGAGCGGCGGACGGGUGAGUAAUGUCUGGGAAACUGCCUGUUGGAGGGGGAUAACUACUGGAAACGGUAGCUAAUACCGCAUACCAUCAGAUGUGCCCAGAUGGGAUUAGCUAGUAGGUGGGGUAACGGCUCACCUAGGCGACGAUCCCUAGCUGGUCUGAGAGGAUGACCAGCCACACUGGAACUGGGACACGGUCCGGACUCCUACGGUGGGAGGCGGGGGGGAAUAUUGCACAAUGGGCGCAAGCCUGAUGCAGCCAGGCCGCGUGUGUGAAGAAGGCCUUCGGGUUGUAAAGCACUUUCAGCGGGGAGGCGUUACCCGCAGAAGAAGCACCGGCUAACUCCGUGCCAGCCGCCGCGGUAAUU
rnacentral:rRNA from 1 species